rnacentral:rRNA from 1 species
AAACUUUCAACAACGGAUCUCUUGGUUCUGGCAUCGAUGAAGAACGCAGCGAAAUGCGAUAAGUAAUGUGAAUUGCAGAAUUCAGUGAAUCAUCGAAUCUUUGAACGCACAUUGCGCCCUGUGGUAUUCCGCAGGGCAUGCCUGUUCGAGCGUCAUCU